rnacentral:rRNA from 1 species
UACGGGGGGAGCAAGCGUUGUUCGGAAUUACUGGGCGUAAAGGGCUCGUAGGCGGCCAACUAAGUCGGACGUGAAAUCCCUCAGCUUAACUGGGGAACUGCGUCCGAUACUGGAUGGCUUGGAUUUGGGAGAGGGAUGCGGAAUUCCAGGUGUAGCGGUGAAAUGCGUAGAUAUCUGGAGGAACACCGGUGGCGAAGGCGGCAUCCUGGACCAACAUUGACGCUGAGGAGCGAAAGCUAGGGGAGCAAACGGG